GUGAACGCUGGCGGUAGGCCUAACACAUGCAAGUCGAACGGCAGCACAGUAAGAGCUUGCUCUUACGGGUGGCGAGUGGCGGACGGGUGAGGAAUACAUCGGAAUCUACUUUUUCGUGGGGGAUAACGUAGGGAAACUUACGCUAAUACCGCAUACGACCUACGGGUGAAAGCAGGGGAUCUUCGGACCUUGCGCGAUUGAAUGAGCCGAUGUCGGAUUAGCUAGUUGGCGGGGUAAAGGCCCACCAAGGCGACGAUCCGUAGCUGGUCUGAGAGGAUGAUCAGCCACACUGGAACUGAGACACGGUCCAGACUCCUACGGGAGGCAGCAGUGGGGAAUAUUGGAAAAUGGGCGCAAGCCUGAUCCAGCCAUACCGCGUGGGUGAAGAAGGCCUUCGGGUUGUAAAGCCCUUUUGUUGGGAAAGAAAAGCAGCAGGUUAAUACCCCGCUGUUCUGACGGUACCCAAAGAAUAAGCACCGGCUAACUUCGUG
rnacentral:rRNA from 1 species